GCCGGUGUGGUGAAAUGGUAGACGCGCUAGACUCAAAAUCUUGUUCCGAAAGGAGUGUCGGUUCGAGUCCGACCACCGGCACCA
rnacentral:tRNA from 2 species